GGCCUCCGCACACUGGCACUGAGCCCUGGGGAAACCCAAGGACGGCCCCAACUGCAGUCCCCUGACCCUGACAUGCCCCAGGCGGGCCUCAGGACAGAGAUUUUCCAGGCCAGGCUCCCCCUGCCCUGGGGGGAUUGGAGGAAUCCUAGCGGAGCACAAGCUGCCCAGCACAGCCCCUCCAGCCCUGAAGCCUGAGGCCAGCAUCUCAGGACACAAGAGGCCAGGCUGGCCCACACCCAUUCUGCAGGCCAGAGCCAUCCUGCCACAGCCAACCCUGCCAGCACCAGGCUGCCCAGCCCCCAGCCAACUGGGCUUAACCAGGGUGGUGGGGGCUGGCACCCAACCCCAGCGCCACAGCUCUGGCCCUGCCUUGGUGGGCAGAUGGAGAGCACACCCAGAGAAGCCGUGGUUCUCAGCCCUCUGGACACCAAGGAGGACCCCAGCUCCAACCCCAGCCCCACACAGGGACACAGUGGCAAGGCCCAGACCUACACCCUGGCAGGUAAAUACCUAGGAGUGGAGUAUCUGGAUCAGACAGAAAUAUGGACACUUUAUUUAUGUGAAAGAGUCAGGAGAAGAACUGGCCACAGUGGUAAAGUACAUUAUCAAAAUAACCAGGAAACAUAGGACAAAGAAUAGCAGGAAAUAGUAUACCGUGUGUUUAUUAAGUUGGGUUGUAAAUAAGAGGGAUAGGAAAGCCCCUUCCCACACUCUUUUCCCGAUGAUCUCAUUUCCAACACCUUCAUAAGCCCCUUCUUUCAUUUGAUACACAGUCUUUCAUUUGAAAGCAGUCUAACAUGUUAAUGUGUCAGAUAAAGCUUGUAUCUAAAGACUGCUUUCAAAGGAAAGGUUCAUAGUCUUCUUAUAAUGUUUUUAUGUGGUUUUGAAAUCGGGGUAAUACUGGCCUCAGAGGAAGAGUUGAAGGUGUUCCUCUCUUUUCAGUUAUUGUUGGAAGGGUUUGUGCAGAGUUGACAUACUUCUUUCUUAAAUCUUUGGUAGAAUUCACCAGUGAAACCAUCUGGGCCUGGGGUUUUCUUUGCAGGAAGGCUUUGUUGUGUUUUAUUUACAAUUCAAUUCCUUUAACAUAUAGGGCCAUUCAAGUUAUUUCUGCCCAAGUGAUCUUCGAUUCAUCCUGUGUCCAAGGAGUUUGUCCUUUUCAUCCGGGCUGCCAAAUGUUUCGACUUGAAGUAGUUCAUGAUGUCCCCCUAUUAUCUUUGUAAUAUGUGUAGAAUCCACAGUGGCGUCACCUGUCUUGUUCCUAACAUUGGAGUGGAACGUGGUGGAUUUUCCCUACAUGCGGCUUUGGCUAAACCGCACGUUCCCCUCCCUCCUGAGGGUCUGUCUCCUCAUCCACCCGCUAGUGCAUCUCCAGCUUCUGUACCUCAGACUCACCUUGAAAGUCCACUUGACAUCCAUCACUGUGCAGUCAGUCAGGAAAAGGAAGCCACACUCGUUAUUUCAAACAGAAGGAAGUUAAUACAGAGAACUGGUUACACAGGUGCUGGAGGCUGGAAGAGAAGACGGGCACCGAGGCACCUGACGUUGUGAACAGCAGGAAGCAGCUUCCACUCCCAGGGCUGGGGGAACAAAUGAAAGAGGUUGGGCUGCCAGAACCCAGGAGCACAGAGAAAGGAUGGAGUGGCAGAGCCAGUAUUGGGAGUGCCAAAAGAAGUGGUGGGCUGGAGUAGCCACCCCCCUCUAUGGCUGGAGGGCCCUGAAAGAAGCUGGUGAAGGAACAGAAAUCUCCUCUCCUCACCUCCCACCAGUGCCUUCCAGGAAGACAUCUGGUCAAAGAGCCUGAAAAUACAGUGUGCACAAUCCCAGCCGCAUGUAUCAGUCAGCUAUUGCUGCAUAACAAAGCACCCAAAAACCAAGGGCUUACAACAAUGUGUUUCAUGGAUGAUAGACGGAUAGAGAGAUAGAAGAGAUAGGUAGAAAUGUGUGUGCGCACGUGUGUGUGUGUGUGUGUGUGUGUGUGAAUGUGUGUGUGUAUGGAUUAGGGUAUAUACAGAUGCUUUCUAGUAUUCUCCCCUGAGAAGGUCUACCAAAAAAAAAUGACACCCCAGUAGUAACUACCACACCCAAUGUCCAGAUCUUGGUUUCUAAAUACCAUUUUCCAAUUAAAAGAAUCAGGACUCCUUAGAGAAGUAGCUGGGUCUCUGGGGAAGGAAAUUACAAGAUAAACCUGGAGCAUUUUAUGGUGCCAGAAAGUGAGGAAGGGCUCAAAAACAGAUAGGGUGAAAGCACACAGGAGCCACUGUGAAGGGGCUGCCAUGGCCAACACUGGAACAAUUUGAGAAACAAAAUAAAGAUAAUGUUGGAUUAUAACCCAAAUAAUAAAAUAAGUAUCUACAAACCCAUAGUGAAGUAAAUAACUGCACAAACAAAUAAGAAGAAACAGCUUAUUUUAAUAGAAUUCCAGUUACUUAAUGCAGAAGAAAUGAAGUAAAUAGAAAAUCACCAUCAGAGGCCACAGGAUUAACAGCUGUCUACAGAGGAUUCUACGAGUCUAAAAUGAUUUCAUGAUAAGAAGUCUGUGAUGAUGGCCGUUAUGGAAAACAGCAUGGAGAUUCCCAAAAAACUGAAAACAGAACCACCACGUAAUCCAGCUGUCCCACUCCCGGGCGUGACACGCGGAGGCCACAUCAGUACGCAGAAGAGACACCCGCACCCCAUGUUCGCCGCAGCGCUGUCCACUACGGCCAGACAUGGAACCAGCCUCAGCGUCCAGCAGCCAAGGAAGGUGCAUCCACGUCAGAGAACUGUUCCUCCACAGAAGAGGGAAUUGUGUCAUUGGUGCCGACAUGGAUGAACUGCAGGACUUCAUGCUGAAUGAAGGAAGCCAGGCCCAGAAAGACAGACACUGCAUGAUCUCACACAUAAGUGGAGCCUAGAAAAGUUGAACUCACAGAAGCAGAGAGAGGACCCAGGGACAUAGGGGCUGGGAACUGGGGAGGGGUUGGUCCAAGAGUACAAAGUUUCUGUUACAGACCGUGCACAGUGGCUCAUGCCUGUAAUCCCAGCACUUUGGGAGGCAGAGGCAGGCAGAUCACCUGAGGUUAGGAGUUCGAGACCAGCCUGGCCAACAUGAUGAGACCCCCGUCUCUACUGAAAAUACAAAAAUUAGGCCAGGCGCGGUGGCUCAUGCCUGUAAUCCCAGCACUUUGGGAUGCUGAGGCGGUCAGAUCAUGAGGUCAGGAGAUCAAGAUCAUCCUGGCCAACAUGGUGAAACCCCAUCUCUACUAAAAAUACAAAAAUUAGCUAGGCAUGGUGGCAGGCGCCUGUAAUCCCAGCUACUCAGAAGGCUGAGGCAGGAGAAUCGCUUGAACCCAGGAGGCGGAGGUUGCAGUGAGCCAAGAUGGCACCACGGCACUCCAGCCUGGCAACAGAGUGAGACUCCGGUUCAAAAAACAAACAAACAAAAAAAUUAGCUGGGCGUGGUGGCGGGUGCCUGUAAUCCCAGCUACUCCAGAGGCUGAGGCAUGAGAGUUGCUUGAACCUGGGAGAUAGAGGUUACAGUAAGCCGAGAUCGUGCCACUGCACUCCAGCCUGGCGACAGAGCAAACUCCAUCUCAAAAAGAAAAAAAAAGUUCCGUUAGACAAAAGGAAUAAAUUCAAGAGAUGUACUGCACAGCAUGGUGACUACAGUUAAUAACACCAUAUUGCAUCCUUGAAAAUCAUUAAGAGAGAGAAAAAAAGAAAGAAAAUCAUUGCGAGUAGAAUUUGAGUGUUCUUACCACAAAAAAAUGGGAAGUAUGUGAAGUCAUGUGUGUUAUGCUGCUUGAUUUAAGCACAAUGUAAACACGUUUCAAAACAUCACAUUGGACAUGAUAAAUAUAUACAAUAAAAGAACAAAAUACAUUUGCAAAACGAAGCAUUAUUAUUGUGCAGGCUCUGCUGGUCGCCUGGUCUCAGUUCUGGUCUUGGCUGGACUCUGGGUCUAGUCCUCUCUCCGCAGCAAUCCGGUGUCCCCUCGACGGACAGGAUCCCCGGCCCCGCCCGCCGGACAGCAAGCUCACAUUCUCUCUGUCGAUUCAGUGGGAAGAGAGGCCCCUGGGGACAGUCCCGACGUCGAACUCCACACGGCCAGCACCUCGACCCUGGAGGGAGUGCUCCUCCCUGAGGAAGCGGGACCUUCAAGCUAGAGUGAACGGUGGCUGUGUGGGCAGGCGGCUGGUGCGACAGGGACUGUGGCCGUGACUCCCACCCGUGAUUCCUGGAUACCAUCGCCACAGAGAAGCGGCACCGGACAUGGAUGGCGAGCACCUGGUCUGUUCUGCGGGGUUGCGCCCGUCCUUUCAGAGGGCCUCCUGGCCGGCGCCAUAACUGGUCUUCAGGGGCCGUCCCACGCUCUAUUAACCCGCUGCUCCUGGGAGCACUGCCUGAGCAUGGGAUGAGUCCUGCUGUGGGAAGCAGCAUCGGUGGGGGUGUGAUGGACAGUGGGGUGCUGUCGAGUCCGUGGACGAAGCCAUGGGCAGGAACAGCAAGUCCACAUUCAGAAAACUGCGAGGGCCUCCGUGACAGCUGACGACCUGUCCCUGUCCUGUCUGUGGAGGGCCGGCGAGGCAGGCGAGGACCCGUCCCUGGGGAAUGGCACCAUGAGGGGACCAGAUUGCUGCCCCUGGAGUCGGCAGGGCACUUGUGCUGCAGGGCCGUGCAGAGCCCCCAUCCCGCCACAUCCCACCUUCCUCUUGGGCCCCUGGGGCCUGCCUGGCAUGGCUGCUGAGUGACCGUGGGCGCUG
rnacentral:lncRNA from 10 species